rnacentral:rRNA from 1 species
GAGUUUGAUCCUGGCUCAGGACGAACGCUGGCGGCGUGCCUAAUACAUGCAAGUCGAGCGGACCUGAUGGAGUGCUUGCACUCCUGAUGGUUAGCGGCGGACGGGUGAGUAACACGUAGGCAACCUGCCCGUAAGACCGGGAUAACUACCGGAAACGGUAGCUAAUACCGGAUAAUCAAGCCUCUCGCAUGGGAGGCUUGGGAAAGGCGGAGCAAUCUGUCACUUACGGAUGGGCCUGCGGCGCAUUAGCUAGUUGGUGGGGUAACGGCUCACCAAGGCGACGAUGCGUAGCCGACCUGAGAGGGUGAACGGCCACACUGGGACUGAGACACGGCCCAGACUCCUACGGGAGGCAGCAGUAGGGAAUCUUCCGCAAUGGACGAAAGUCUGACGGAGCAACACCGCGUGAGUGAUGAAGGUUUUCGGAUCGUAAAGCUCUGUUGCCAGGGAAGAACGUCCUGUAGAGUAACUGCUACAGGAGUGACGGUACCUGA